rnacentral:lncRNA from 1 species
CCCCGUCUCUACUAAAAAAUACAAAAAACUAGCUGGGCGAGGUGGCCGGUCCCUGUAGUCCCAGCUACUCCGGAGGCUGAGGCAGGAGAAUGGCGUAAACCUGGGAGGUGGAGCUUGCAGUGAGCUGAGAUCCGGCCACUGCACUCCAGCCCCAGCGACAGAGCGAGACUCCGUCUCAAAAAAAAACCCAAAAAACAAAAACAAACAAACAAAAAUAAAACCACAACAAAACCAAAACAAAACAAAACUUUGUGUCUCCUAAGAAGGGGACCCCUGCUGGGCGUGGUGGCUUACGCCUGUAAUCCCAGCACUUUGGGAGGCCGAGGUGGGCAAAUCACUUGAGGUCAGGGGUUCGAGACCAGCUUGACCAACAUGGUGAAACCCCAUCUCCACUAAAAAUACAAAAAUUAGCCACAUGUGGUUCAAACAAUUCUCCUGCCUCAUCUUCCUGAGUAGCUGGGACUCCAGGUGCCUGCCGCCGCGCCUGGCUACUUUUUGUAUUUUCAGUGGAGUUGGGGUUUUGCCACGUUGGCCAGGCUGGUCUUGAACUCCUGAACUCAGGUGAUCCACCUGCCUCGGCCUCCCAGAAUGCUGGCAUUACAGGCAUGAGCCACCGCACCUGGCCUGUCCUCUCUUUUUAAGAGUCCCAAGUCGCUCUCUCAGCACUCUACCCAAGCACCAGAUUUCUACCUUAAACGCCCUGAUUCUUGGGGAAAUCAGGAGCCCCCUACAAGUCCCUGGGGCCCACCAAUGCCCUUCCUGGGGCUGGGAACAGAACGUCUGACCCUGCUUCCCUCUCUCCCCGGCCCUCACAGAGGAUGACUCAGGCGAGGCGUCAUCUCAGAAUUCUAUGUCCAGCCAUGGAAAGCAGGGGGCUCUCAAGAAGCGGAAGGCGCCUCCACCUCCUGCCAGCAUCCCCAUGCCGGAUGAUCGAGAUGCCUAUGAGGAGAUCGUGAGGCUGCGCCAGGAGAGGGGCCACCUCCUGCAGAAGAUCCGGGGCCUGGAACAGCACAAGGAACGGAGGCAGCAGGAGUCCCCGGAGGCCAGCUCCCUGCACAGCCUGGAGAGACAGGUGCAAGAGCUGCAGCAGCUGCUGGUGGAGAGACAGGAGGAGAAGGAGAGCCUGGGACGGGAGGUGGAGAGUUUGCAGAGCCGGCUGUCCCUGCUGGAGAACGAGCGGGAGAAUACGAGCUACGAUGUGACCACUCUGCAGGAUGAGGAGGGUGAGCUGCCUGACUUUCCAGGGGCCGAGGCGCUGCUGUCCAGGCAACUCAGCCCGUCGGCCCAGGAACGCCUGGCCUCACUGCAGGAACAGGUGGCUGUGCUCACCAGACAGAACCAGGAACUGAUGGAGAAGGUCCAGAUCCUGGAGAACUUUGAGAAGGACGAGACACAGAUGGAAGUGGAAGCUUCAGCAGAGGUCAUCCCUCUUGCCCUCUAUGACUCUCUCCGGGCCGAGUUUGACCAGCUGCGCAGGCAGCAUGCUGAGGCCCUGCAGGCACUGAGGCAGCAGGAGACAGGAGAGGUCCCCAGAGAAGAGAGGGCAGCCUGUGGGGAGAGUGAGGGUGUUGGAGCCACAGCCACCAAAAACAGACCAACCCACAUGGAGCUAAAUGGCUCAGUGGCUCCAGAAACCAAAGUUAACGGAGCCGAGACCACAGAUGAGAAGGCUGCAGGAGAUGAAACCAUGGAAGCCAGGACUAUGGAAGCCACGUCCAUGGCAGCUGAGGCCACGGGAGCUGAGGCCACAGGAGUCAUGGCCACAGAGACAAAACUCACAGGAGCUGAGGUCAGAGAAAUGGAGACUGUAGAAGAGGAAGCAAACAUGGAAACUAAGCUCACAGGAGCGCAGACCACAGACACAGAGGCCACAGGAAUGGAGGCCACAAAAACAAAAGCAGAGGAAGCAGAAGUGCAGGCCUGCGGAGUGGGUGCUGGGCAACCAGAGCCCCCAGUCACAGGGACCACAAACAUGGAGGCCACAGGCACCACAAACAUGGAGGCCACAGGCUCUAGGGCCACGGGGGUGGAAGCCACAGGAGUCAGUGCCACAGGUGUAGAGAACCCAGGGGUAGAAGCCAUGGCCCUGGGGGUCUCUGCUGGCCCCGUCCUACAUCCUGGUGCCGCAGAGGCCUCGGAAAAGCUUCAAGUAGAGCUGGAGACCAGGAUUCGCGGCUUGGAGGAGGCGCUCCGGCAGCGGGAGCGGGAGGCAGCUGCGGAGCUGGAGGCGGCCCUGGGGAAGUGCGAGGCCGCGGAAGCAGAGGCGGGCCGGCUGCGAGAGCGCGUCCGCGAGGCCGAGGGCAGCGGGGCCAGCGUGGUGGGUGGUGGCAGCGACACCGCACAGCUGCGGGCCGCCCUGGAGCAGGCCCGGGAGGAUCUCCGAGACCGGG